rfam:Emmonsia parva TAMH 139 supercont1.142, whole genome shotgun sequence.
GGGCAAUUAGCUCAGUUGGUAGAGCGUUCGCUUUGCAUUUACACCCGCAUGCGAAAGGUCGUGAUUUCGAUUAUCACAUUGUCCA